rnacentral:rRNA from 1 species
AUCGAACGCUGGCGGCAGGCCUAACACAUGCAAGUCGAACGAGUGGCGGACGGGUUAGUAAUUUCUGGGAAACUGCCUGAUGGACGGGGAUAACUACUGGAAACGGUAGCUAAUACCGCAUACCAUCGGAUGUGCCCCGAGGGGAUUAGCUAGUAGCUAGGGUAACGGCUCACCUAGGCGACGAUCCCUAGCUGGUCUGAGAGGAUGACCAGCCACACUGGAACUGAGACACGGUCCAGACUCCUACGGGAGGCAGCAGUGGGGAAUAUUGCACAAUGGGCGCAAGCCUGAUGCAGCCAUGCCGCGUGUAUGAAGAAGGCCUUCGGGUUGUAAAGUACUUUCAGUGGGGAGGCGUUACCCGCAGAAGAAGCACCGGCUAACUCCGUGCCAGCAGCCGCGGUAAUAC